UGGGGAAUUUUGGACAAUGGGGGCAACCCUGAUCCAGCCAUCCCGCGUGUGCGAUGAAGGCCUUCGGGUUGUAAACACUUUUGGCAGGGAAGAAACAGCCUGGGAUAAUACCCCGGGCGACUGACGGUACCUGCAGAAUAAGCACCGGCUAACUACGUGCCAGCAGCCGCGGUAAUACGUAGGGUGCAAGCGUUAAUCGGAAUUACUGGGCGUAAACGUGCGCAGGCGGUUCGGAAAGAAAGGUGUGAAUCCCAGGGCUUAACCUUGGAACUGCACUUUUAACUACCGAGCUAGAGUACGUCAGAGGGGGGUAGAAUUCCACGUGUAGCAGUGAAAUGCGUAGAGAUGUGGAGGAAUACCGAUGGCGAAGGCAGCCCCUGGGAUGAUACUGACGCUCAUGCACGAAAGCGUGGGGAGCAAACAGGAUUAGAUACCCUGGUAGUCCACGCCCUAAAACGAUGUCAACUAGCUGUUGGGGUUUAUUAACCUUAGUAGCGCAGCUAACGCGUGAGUUGACCGCCUGGGGAGUACGGUCG
rnacentral:rRNA from 1 species